UUGGGAUGUGGUUGAGUACUUACAUUCUUGUGUUAAGGUGUGGCAUAUUACUGAAGUCUGCCACUACCUCCCACACACCUCUCGGAUCCUCACCAGGGAUGAAUAAUUCGUACUCCUGUAAUUGCUUUCCCUUUUUGACGAAGAGGAAUAUCACUAAGAGACAACCUAAGAAUAUAGAUACGUGCGCAAGUAUCAAGCAGAUCCAGCAGUCACUUAGGAAAGAACUGGUGUCUUCCGUGGUAGUGAUGUGUGUGGAAACUUAAUUAGGAGGUGGAGUGAGUGUAAUGUAUAAUAUAAUAGUGAGGUAGCCGGUGCUGUGUUGAGUGUAUGUACACCAGCAGGCCUACCAGGCCUACUUUACUGCUCUUCUAGCACCAUCACUUGUGGUGCCGCCCUCAUCCUCACCAGGGCUGGGUAAUCUAAUAAGGAGGAAGACUGUGAAGUGAGAGAGUGAGAGAGAGAGAGUGAGAGAGUGAGUGUGUGUGUGUGGUAGCAGCGGCUCCCGCACCUCAGUCUCUCACUGGCACCACCCUGUGGCACUCGACUCCAGUGGCACCACCCUGUGGCACUCGACUCCAGUGGUAGCUGAGAGUGGCACCAACAUGGCUAACACUUCCAGUACUCGUAUGCUGCUGGUCACAGCAAAUAUCGCGUCCUGCUUUGAACAGAAGUGGGCUGAUAUAACAUUCAACUUAACUUCCAACUGCAACAUCCCCACCCCUCUAGAGUGCAG